ensembl:lncRNA
CUAUGUGUUCCUAUGUGUCCCUAUGUGUCUCUGUGCGUCUCUAUGGGUCCCUAUGUGUCCCUAUGGGUCCCUAUGUGUCCCUAUGGGUCCCUAUGGGUCCCUAUGGGUCGCUAUGGGUCGCUAUGGGUCGCUAUGGGUCCCCAUGUGUCGGUGUGUGUCCCCCCGGUGGCUGUGUGUCUCUAUGUGUCCCUAUGUGUCCCUAUGGGUCCCUACGUGUCCCUGUGUGUCUCUAUGUGUCCCUAUGUGUCCCUAUGUGUCCCUAUGGGUCUCUAUGUGUCCC